CACUUACAGCCAGAUCCAGGACACCAUCAAUACUCUGAUGAACAGAAUGCUGAACAGUCAACCAGCAACUCCCGUCGUCUUUCCACGGGCAAAAUUCACCGUGACGGGUGACCAGGUAGAGGCCGUCGUGAGUUACGCCGUUCGAAGGUCGACGUCAGCAACCCGAGCCCUUACC